GUGGGGAAUCUUGCGCAAUGGGCGAAAGCCUGACGCAGCCAUGCCGCGUGAAUGAUGAAGGUCUUAGGAUUGUAAAAUUCUUUCACCGGGGACGAUAAUGACGGUACCCGGAGAAGAAGCUCCGGCUAACUUCGUGCCAGCAGCCGCGGUAAUACGAAGGGGGCUAGCGUUGCUCGGAAUUACUGGGCGUAAAGGGCGCGUAGGCGGACAGCUUAGUCAGAGGUGAAAGCCCAGGGCUCAACCUUGGAAUGGCCUUUGAUACUGGCUGUCUUGAGUUUGGGAGAGGUGAGUGGAACUCCGAGUGUAGAGGUGAAAUUCGUAGAUAUUCGGAAGAACACCAGUGGCGAAGGCGACUCACUGGCCCAAUACUGACGCUGAGGCGCGAAAGCGUGGGGAGCAAACAGGAUUAGAAACCCUUGUAGUCC
rnacentral:rRNA from 1 species